AGAGUUUGAUCCUGGCUCAGGACGAACGCUGGCGGCAUGCCUAACACAUGCAAGUCGAACGGAGUUUAAUUGACAGAAGCCUUCGGGCAGAAGACGAUUAAACUUAGUGGCGGACGGGUGAGUAACGCGUGGAUAACCUGCCUUAUAGAGGGGGACAACAGUUGGAAACGACUGCUAAUACCGCAUAAGGUCUCGAGACCGCAUGAUCUUGAGAAGAAAGAUGGCCUCUGAAAAUGCUAUCGCUAUAAGAUGGAUCCGCGUCUGAUUAGCUAGUUGGUGAGGUAACGGCUCACCAAGGCAACGAUCAGUAGCCGGCCUGAGAGGGUGAACGGCCACAUUGGGACUGAGACACGGCCCAAACUCCUACGGGAGGCAGCAGUGGGGAAUCUUCCGCAAUGGGCGAAAGCCUGACGGAGCAAUGCCGCGUGAAUGAAGAAGGCCUUCGGGUCGUAAAAUUCUGUCCUUAUUGAAGAGAGGUUCAUGUGUAAACAAUGCAUGAAUAGGACGGUAGAUAAGGAGGAAGCCCCGGCUAACUACGUGCCAGCAGCCGCGGUAAUACGUAGGGGGCGAGCGUUGUCCGGAAUCACUGGGCGUAAAGGGCGCGUAGGCGGCCUAGUAAGUCAGAUGUGAAAAGUGAGGGCUCAACCCUUAGAGUGCAUCUGAUACUGCUAGGCUUGAGUACAGAAGAGGAAAGCGGAAUUCCUAGUGUAGCGGUGAAAUGCGUAGAUAUUAGGAGGAACACCAGUGGCGAAGGCGGCUUUCUGGGCUGAAACUGACGCUGAGGCGCGAAAGCGUGGGGAGCAAACAGGAUUAGAUACCCUGGUAGUCCACGCCGUAAACGAUGGGUACUAGGUGUCGGGGGUAUCGAUACCCUCGGUGCCGGAGUAAACACAAUAAGUACCCCGCCUGGGGAGUACGAUCGCAAGAUUGAAACUCAAAGGAAUUGACGGGGGCCCGCACAAGCGGUGGAGCAUGUGGUUUAAUUCGACGCAACGCGAAGAACCUUACCAAGACCUGACAUCCUGCUGACGGAUUGGGUAAUGCCGAUCGUUCUACUUCGGUAGACAGCAGAGACAGGUGGUGCAUGGUUGUCGUCGGCUCGUGUCGUGAGAUGUUGGGUUAAGUCCCGCAACGAGCGCAACCCUUGUCUUUAGUUGCCAGCAUUAAGUUGGGCACUCUAAAGAGACUGCCGGUGACAAACCGGAGGAAGGUGGGGAUGACGUCAAAUCAUCAUGCCCCUUAUGUCUUGGGCUACACACGUGCUACAAUGGUCGGUACAAAGGGCAGCGAGACCGCGAGGUGGAGCGAAUCCCAAAAAGCCGAUCCCGUUCGGAUUGCAGGCUGCAACCCGCCUGCAUGAAGUCGGAAUCGCUAGUAAUCGCAGGUCAGCAUACUGCGGUGAAUACGUUCCCGGGCCUUGUACACACCGCCCGUCACACCACGAGAGUUGGUAACACCCGAAGCCGGUGGUCUAACCGCAAGGAGGAAGCUGUCGAAGGUGGGACUAAUGAUUGGGGUGAAGUCGUAACAAGGUA
rnacentral:rRNA from 1 species